rnacentral:ribozyme from 1 species
GCGACCGAGCCAGCGAAAGUUGGGAGUCGC